UACAGAGGGUGCUAGCGUUGUUCGGAAUCAUUGGGCGUAAAGGGCGUGUAGGCGGUUUGUUAAGUCAUGUGUGAAAUCCCUCGGCUCAACCGGGGAACGACGCAUGAAACUGGCAAGCUAGAGUACCAAAGAGGGGGGUGGAAUUCCCGGUGUAGCGGUGAAAUGCGUAGAUAUCGGGAGGAACGCCCGUGGCGAAAGCGAGUUCCUGGACGUCGGCUGACGCUGAGACGCGAAAGCCAGGGGAGCGAACGGG
rnacentral:rRNA from 1 species